rnacentral:lncRNA from 1 species
AAUUAUCCAGCAGUGGUACUGUUCCUUUACCCUCUCUUUGAUUUUUGAGAAAGUAAUCAUGUUGGGAGUCUGGCUCUCGAGAUUCGGAGGGCGGUGCCUCUUCGAUUUUGGAGCAAGCAAUCUUGUUGGGAGUGUUUUCUCGAAUGUGAGUAAAGGUUGGGCAUGUUUGCUAGUCUACCUUGCCACGGAGCACAGAGGUUGACACACAGGAACUUUCCAAUUAUCCAGCAGUGGUACUGUUCCUUUACCCUCUCUUCGAUUUUUGAGAAAGUAAUCAUGUUGAGAGUCUGGCUCUCGAGAUUCGGAGGGCGGUGCCUCUUCGAUUUUGGAGCAAGCAAUCUUGUUGGGAGUGUUUUCUCGAAUGUGAGUAAAGGUUGGGCAUGUUUGCUAAUCUACCUUGCCACGAAGCACAGAGGUUGAGACACCGGGACUUUCCAAUUAUCCAGCAGUGGUACUGUUCCUUUACCCAUGUGGGUAAUAAUAUGGUAGCUAGACCUUCAAAAUUUAUGUGUCUAAACUUUGGUAGUGUUGUUUCUUUGCUAUUCUUUUACCCUUCU